rnacentral:rRNA from 1 species
AAGCGCCCGAAGCCGCGAGGCGACGGGCGUUCUCGCCGGAUGUAGGAACCGACCCGGGGACCGCCGGGGCAACCCGGCGCCCCCGAGACGGGGCGAACCACGGUGAAAUGACGGAUCGUCGGCCCCGCGCCGGCGACUCGCCGAAUGAGUUUCUGACCUAUCAACUCGAGACGGCGGGGUAGAGGCCCGCCGCGGUAACGACGGGUAACGGGGAAUCAGGGUUCGAUUCCGGAGAGGGAGCCCGAGAAACGGCUACCACUUCCAAGGAAGGCAGCAGGCGCGCAACUUACCCUAAUCUCGAUUCGAGGAGGUAGUGACAAGAAAUACCGAUGCGGGACCCUACGGGUGCCGCGUUCGGAAUGAGUACGAUUCGAACCACCUAACGAGGAACGAUCGGAGGGCAAGUCUGGUGCCAGCAGCCGCGGUAAUUCCAGCUCC